rnacentral:rRNA from 1 species
AGACCCGAAACCCGGUGAUCUAGCCAUGGGCAGGUUGAAGGUUGGGUAACACUAACUGGAGGACCGAACCGACUAAUGUUGAAAAAUUAGCGGAUGACCUGUGGCUGGGGGUGAAAGGCCAAUCAAACCGGGAGAUAGCUGGUUCUCCCCGAAAGCUAUUUAGGUAGCGCCUCGUGAAUUCAUCUCCGGGGGUAGAGCACUGUUUCGGCUAGGGGGCCAUCCCGGCUUACCAACCCGAUGCAAACUGCGAAUACCGGAGAAUGUUAUCACGGGAGACACACGGCGGGUGCUAACGUCCGUCGUGAAGAGGGAAACAACCCAGACCGCCAGCUAAGGUCCCAAAGUCAUGGUUAAGUGGGAAACGAUGUGGGAAGGCCCAGACAGCCAGGAUGUUGGCUUAGAAGCAGCCAUCAUUUAAAGAAAGCGUAAUAGCUCACUGGUCGAGUCGGCCUGCGCGGAAGAUGUAACGGGGCUAAACCAUGCACCGAAGCUGCGGCAGCGACACUGUGUGUUGUUGGGUAGGGGAGCGUUCUGUAAGCCUGUGAAGGUGUGUCGUGAGGCAUGCUGGAGGUAUCAGAAGUGCGAAUGCUGACAUAAGUAACGAUAAAGCGGGUGAAAAGCCCGCUCGCCGGAAGACCAAGGGUUCCUGUCCAACGUUAAUCGGGGCAGGGUGAGUCGACCCCUAAGGCGAGGCCGAAAGGCGUAGUCGAUGGGAAACGGGUUAAUAUUCCCGUACUUGGUGUUACUGCGAAGGGGGGACGGAGAAGGCUAUGUUGGCCGGGCGACGGUUGUCCCGGUUUAAGCGUGUAGGUGUGUGUUCCAGGUAAAUCCGGUUCACUUUAACACUGAGGCGUGACGACGAGGCACUACGGUGCUGAAGCAACAAAUGCCCUGCUUCCAGGAAAAGCCUCUAAGCAUCAGGUAACAUCAAAUCGUACCCCAAACCGACACAGGUGGUCAGGUAGAGAAUACCAAGGCGCUUGAGAGAACUCGGGUGAAGGAACUAGGCAAAAUGGUGCCGUAACUUCGGGAGAAGGCACGCUGACACGUAGGUGAAGUGAUUUACUCAUGGAGCUGAAGUCAGUCGAAGAUACCAGCUGGCUGCAACUGUUUAUUAAAAACACAGCACUGUGCAAACACGAAAGUGGACGUAUACGGUGUGACGCCUGCCCGGUGCCGGAAGGUUAAUUGAUGGGGUCAGCGCAAGCGAAGCUCCUGAUCGAAGCCCCGGUAAACGGCGGCCGUAACUAUAACGGUCCUAAGGUAGCGAAAUUCCUUGUCGGGUAAGUUCCGACCUGCACGAAUGGCGUAAUGAUGGCCAGGCUGUCUCCACCCGAGACUCAGUGAAAUUGAACUCGCUGUGAAGAUGCAGUGUACCCGCGGCAAGACGGAAAGACCCCGUGAACCUUUACUAUAGCUUGACACUGAACAUUGAGCCUUGAUGUGUAGGAUAGGUGGGAGGCUUUGAAGUGUGGACGCCAGUCUGCAUGGAGCCGACCUUGAAAUACCACCCUUUAAUGUUUGAUGUUCUAACGUGGACCCGUUACCCGGGUUGCGGACAGUGUCUGGUGGGUAGUUUGACUGGGGCGGUCUCCUCCUAAAGAGUAACGGAGGAGCACGAAGGUUGGCUAAUCC